GGGGGGGCUAGGAUGAAAAUUUGAAAAAUAGGCAGGACAGGAGUUUUGAGUAAAAAAAAAGGCAGGAUGAGACACUUGCAAAAAAAAAAAGUCAGGAUGACAAUUUAUGUAAAAAAAGUCAGGAUAAACUAAAAAAAAAAAAAGCAGGACCGAAUAGAGUGAAAAAUAAAAAGGCAGGACAGAUAUUACAACUAAAAAAAAAAUGCAGGACAAAAUUUUUCCUCCUAGCCCCC
rnacentral:lncRNA from 1 species